GACUUAAGCAUAUCAAUAAGCGGAGGAAAAGAAACCAACAGGGAUUGCCUCAGUAACGGCGAGUGAAGCGGCAACAGCUCAAAUUUGAAAUCUGACCCCUUCGGGGCCCGAGUUGUAAUUUGUAGAGGAUGCUUCGGGUGCGGUGCCGGUCUAAGUUCCUUGGAACAGGACGUCAUAGAGGGUGAGAAUCCCGUAUGCGACCGGCGGCCAACCCCGUGUGAAGCCCCUUCGACGAGUCGAGUUGUUUGGGAAUGCAGCUCAAAAUGGGUGGUAAAUUUCAUCUAAAGCUAAAUAUCGGCCAGAGACCGAUAGCGCACAAGUAGAGUGAUCGAAAGAUGAAAAGCACUUUGGAAAGAGAGUCAAACAGUACGUGAAAUUGUUGAAAGGGAAGCGCUUGCAACCAGACCUGCCCGCGGGCGAUCAGCCGUUAUUCUUAGCGGUGCACUCGUCCGCGAUCAGGCCAGCAUCGGUUCGGGCGGCCGGAUAAAGGCCUCGGGAAUGUAGCUCCCCCCGGGGAGUCUUAUAGCCCGGGGUGCAAUGCGGCCAGCCCGGACCGAGGACCGCGCUUCGGCUAGGAUGCUGGCGUAAUGGUUGUAAGCGACCCGUCUUGAAACACGGACC
rnacentral:rRNA from 1 species